CCUACGGGCGGCAGCAGUGAGGAAUAUUGGUCAAUGGACGAGAGUCUGAACCAGCCAAGUAGCGUGAAGGAUGACUGCCCUAUGGGUUGUAAACUUCUUUUAUAUGGGAAUAAAAUGUUCCACGUGUGGGAUUUUGUAUGUACCAUAUAAAUAAGGAUCGGCUAACUCCGUGCCAGCAGCCGCGGUAAUACGGAGGAUCCGAGCGUUAUCCGGAUUUAUUGGGUUUAAAGGGAGCGUAGGUGGAUUGUUAAGUCAGUUGUGAAAGUUUGCGGCUCAACCGUAAAAUUGCAGUUGAAACUGGCAGUCUUGAGUACAGUAGAGGUGGGCGGAAUUCGUGGUGUAGCGGUGAAAUGCUUAGAUAUCACGAAGAACUCCGAUUGCGAAGGCAGUUCACUGGACUGCAACUGACACUGAGGCUCGAAAGUGUGGGUAUCAAACAGGAUUAGAUACCCGAGUAGUC
rnacentral:rRNA from 1 species